rnacentral:rRNA from 1 species
UACGUAGGGACCGAGCGUUGUCCGGAAUCAUUGGGCGUAAAGAGCGUGUAGGCGGCCAACUAAGUCCUGCGUGAAAUCUCGGGGCUCAACCCCGAGCGGUCGUGGGAAACUGGUUGGCUAGAGUGCGGGAGAGGAGAGUGGAAUUCCUAGUGUAGCGGUGAAAUGCGCAGAUAUCAGGAAGAACACCCGUGGCGAAGGCGGCUCUCUGGAACGCAACUGACGCUGAGACGCGAAAGCGUGGGGAGCAAACAGG